CCGGAGGGUCCUGAGGCAGUGGUUAAGGGUGGGGUUGGUAUGAGGGAGUGGAGAGCCUUUCUCAGAAACACGCUUGGGUGGGAAAGUGAAAUUUUUCUUAAAAUGGUGGCCAUCACUUAAGAUGGCCGUCAGAUGCUAAGCAAGGACCUUACAGAGCCCAUCUUCUGAGACAGGCUUCUGGGGUUCGGGAAUCCUCCUCCCCAUUCUUAUAAACUCCUCCCUGUUUAUGAGCCUUUGUAUGUCUUUCUGGAGACCAGGCCCACAUUUUCAUGAGAUUCUCAUAGAGAUCUCAGGCCCCACAGGAGUGAAAACACUGUCGUUGAAGAUUUCCACUGAUUUUGACACUAGAAAGGAGCUGGGAGGACUCUUUAUGGAAAAUUUCAUUUCACAGAUAGGGAAACUGAGGCCCGGAGAGAAGCAGUUAUUUCCCCAGGUCAACACAACAAGAUAUUGACAAAAUAGCAUGGUGCCCAGGGGCGGAAAUUUGAUUUCCAUUGUUUAAGUGUCAGCACCUUCUGAUGUUCCUCCUCUCACGGGGACGAGUCCUGGAGGCCUGGCAGCCCUCUGGAGGGGGAGUCGGGAUGCCAGGAGUCUGUGAAAGGACAGCUGUUCUCUCCUCUCUCUCUUGGUGAUCUACUCUGGCAGCUGGUAGAUAUUUUGUCCCAUAGACCUGUCUAGAAAAUCCUGUCCAUACCCUUAGGCCAUUUACCCACGUGGAUGCCCAGUGUUGCUCUUCUGGCCUAGGAAUCGGCACGCCAGGUCGGUGCUCCCUGCUGGGCACCUGCGGACAGCCUCGCAAAGCCACAACCCUGUGAGAGGGAAUGUGAGAAAGAGCCUGCCUUUGGUUGACAGUCAGCUUCUGGGAGGUCUUCGAGAAGGCAUGGGCCUGGGGAAGGCUUCCCAGGCGGGGUGCUCGCCCUGUGCAGAGAGCCCCACAAGCCUGAGAAUAUCCAAACACAUUCUCGAUUUACAAAUCAGCGGGGCCCAGAGCAGAGGGGAUAAGCACCCUGGGAAGGUGCCUUCCACCUGCAGAGGUGGCUGGGGGACUGGGUGGGUUCCAGGAGAGAGAACAACACCACUGGGCUUCACCGAGAGGCGGAUUUAUGAAAGCACUGGUGGCAAAGCCACCCUCCUGGAAGACAUUCUGGGGACUGCCAGCGAGACCACUCCAGAUGGCAACCGAGGCCUUACAGCAGCCACUCUCUAAAGUCUGCUGUGGCCCUGUGGCCGGCCAGAGGUGAGAGCCCCAGUUCUCGCAUCUAGUCAGGGAUCUGGCCCUUGCUCAGGUGACACUGUCAGAGGAACCCUGGGAACAAGUGCUGGUGGUUUGCUGGAUGCCACCCAGCAGCUUCCAUUCCAAGCUGGCUGAGCAACCACAGCAGUCACACAAGCCGGGAGGGCCAGGUGCUAAGCUCUGGGACUUGGUCCUGACACCCUCACAACAGGUUGACCAUGGGUAGCAUGCCAUGGAUUCUGUCUAAAUGAUGACAGUGUCUGUAAAGACUAUGGCACACGAUCCCACUGCCCUUGUCUGUCUGUCUGUGUUUCGCUUUGCCCUUCCCUGCCUCCUGGAGCACGGUGGGCACAAGGCCUCUGCUUCUUGGGCAGGAGGUUUUUAUGGUAGUCUGCAUGUUGCCUUUUAGAAAUCUGAUCAUUGUUCU
rnacentral:lncRNA from 1 species